GGAUGUGAGGGCGAUCUGGCUGCAAAUCUGUCACCCCAUUGAUCGCCAGGGUUGAUUUGGCUGAUCUGGCUGGCUAGGCGGGUGUCCCCUUCCUCCCUCACUGCUCCAUGUGCGUCCCUCCCGAAGCUGCGCCCUCAGUCGAAGAGGACGGCCUUCCCCGAAUAGAGUUGGACCGGUCUUCGGUCGAGGGUAUACGAGUAGCUGCGCUCCCCUGCUAGAACCUCCAAACAAGCUCUCAAGAUAUAUAUAUAUAUAUAAUGUCAGGGCCUUUCACAUGUGCCAUUUCACUAUUCUGGGUUGCUUUUUCAUUCAGAUUGAUAG
ensembl:misc_RNA 7SK 7SK RNA